CGGUGACAGGUGGUGCAUGGUUGUCGUCAGCUCGUGUCGUGAGAUGUUGGUUAAGUCCCGCAACGAGCGCAACCCCUAUUGUUAGUUGCCAUCAUUCAGUUGGGCACUCUAGCGAGAUUGCCGGUAAUAAACCGGAGGAAGGUGGGGAUGACGUCAAAUCAUCAUGCCCCUUAUGACCUGGGCUACACACGUGCUACAAUGGUUGGUACAACGAGUUGCGAGUCGGUGACGGCGAGCUAAUCUCUUAAAGCCAAUCUCAGUUCGGAUUGUAGGCUGCAACUCGCCUACAUGAAGCCGGAAUCGCUAGUAAUCGCGGAUCAGCACGCCGCGGUGAAUACGUUCCCGGGCCUU
rnacentral:rRNA from 1 species